rnacentral:ncRNA from 1 species
ACUGAUGUAUUCAACGAGCAUAUAGCCUUGGCUGACAGGCCCGGGUAAUCUUUGAAAUUUCAUCGUGAUGGGGAUAGAUCAUUGCAAUUGUUGGUCUUCACGAGGAAUUCUAGUAAGCGCGAGUCAUCAGCUCGCGUUGACUACGUCCCUGCCUUUGUACACACCGCCGUCGCUCCUACCGAUUGAAUGAUCCGGUGAAGUGUUCGGAUCGCGGCGACGUGGGCGGUUCGCUGCCCGCGACGUCGCGAGAAGUCCACUGAACCUUAUCAUUUAGAGGAAGGAGAAGUCGUAACAAGGUUUCCGUAGGUGAACCUGCGGAAGGAUCAUUG